rnacentral:rRNA from 1 species
UAGGGAAUCUUCGGCAAUGGACGAAAGUCUGACCGAGCAACGCCGCGUGAGUGAAGAAGGUUUUCGGAUCGUAAAACUCUGUUGUUAGAGAAGAACAAGGACGUUAGUAACUGAACGUCCCCUGACGGUAUCUAACCAGAAAGCCACGGCUAACUACGUGCCAGCAGCCGCGGUAAUACGUAGGUGGCAAGCGUUGUCCGGAUUUAUUGGGCGUAAAGCGAGCGCAGGCGGUUUCUUAAGUCUGGUGUGAAAGCCCCCGGCUCAACCGGGGAGGGUCAUUGGAAACUGGGAGACUUGAGUGCAGAAGAGGAGAGUGGAAUUCCAUGUGUAGCGGUGAAAUGCGUAGAUAUAUGGAGGAACACCAGUGGCGAAGGCGGCUCUCUGGACUGUAGCUGACGCUGAGGCUCGAAAGCGUGGGGAGCAAACAGG